AUUAAGAUUGUAAUACUUGUUUUUGAGCUACUCAAUGCAAUAUAUUGUGUGUUCAUUAUAUUGAUUAGUAUUAAGCUUCCAGAUUGUUCGAAAUUUAAUGUACGACGUAUUUUUUAUGAAAACGAUCAGAUCUAUUGUAUUAUCGAUUUUAUACUGGUUUAAUAGUGGACGCCAUUAAGUCAUUUCAAUGAUAAGCUCGACUUUGCACUAAACAUUUUGUAUAGUCCUAUCAAUUUAAGACCAUCUCUUUUGUAAUUUUACGAACACUUGUCAUUUCCAUAUAUUGAUCGUUCUGUAAGUUCGGCGCGCCAUUCUUGCACUUAGUAUAUGUCACGUGGAAAGCGCGCCUAAUUACAUAAUAUAAUACCACAGUGAAAGAAAUAUGUUGUGCCACACCCCCUUUUUUUAUUUCAUUUUUCAAAGUUUUGCAAAUGUUUCAAUUGUUUAGAAUUCUGAAUUUCGCACCACCAUUUAGUUAUACACGAAUAAGUAACGAAUCCAUGGACGAUACUCGUAGAAUUAUAAUGUUAAUUUGAUAGAUUAGCUACAUUUGAUAGACAAACAGAUAUAUUAAGUCAUCUACAUUGGAACAUUGUCCAAAAUGACAGAAUAUUGGUUAAUAUCCGCACCUGGAGAUAAAACAUGUCAACAGACAUGGGAAACUAUGAACAAUUUGACAUCAAAACAACAUUCUUUGUCAGUCAACUACAAAUUUCAUAUCCCAGAUUUAAAGGUGGGAACAUUGGACCAAUUGGUUGGCUUAUCAGAUGAUCUAGGAAAACUUGAUGCUUAUGUUGAACAAGUAACACGCAAGGUGGCAACAUACCUAGGAGAAGUUUUAGAAGAUCAGAGAGACAAGCUACAUGAAAAUCUUUUGGCUAACAAUAGUCAAACGUCAGUGGAUGGGGAGAGCUCGAGCCCCGAAGGGGGUCCGGACACCCCGCCAAACACCCCCGUCACCCCAUCACACAAGUCUUCGAAGGAGCAUCACAAGCAGUGGAAGGAAUCGGAGAAAUGUGAACCAGAACCAGCCGCCUGUUUAGGUCAGCAUCAUCACCAGCGUCAUCAUCAUCACGAGCAUCAUCAUAGUCAUAAACAUCACAAUCAUCCUUCUGAAACCGAAAAAAAAUCAUCAUAUAGUCCUCAAGGCAUCUGUGAUGUCAGAUCAUCAAAUGAUCCUUUAUCAGCAUAUUCAUGCUACCAUGCGCAUUGGUGCGCUGCUUCUACCUCUUCCACACCUAUUCCUAGUCCUACUCCCACGAGUCCGAGUCUUUCCCUUUCAUCAAACUGUAGCAGUGAAGGAGAGACCAGAUGGCAGUCGGCGACACGUCAUCGGACUACUGAGAAAGCAGAUCGAUCUACCUCCAAUCGCAAAUCGCUCGGCAAUGACGACGACGAAGACGAUGCGGACCAAAACAACGACCAAGACCAAGACCAAGACCAUAGCGGCAAUUUGCCCAAUCCAGGUGAUCUACCAUCAUAUAUAACUCGAUUCCAGUGGGAUAUGGCAAAGUAUCCUAUCAAGCAAUCAUUGAGAAAUAUUGCUGACAUUAUCAGUAAACAAGUGGGUCAGAUUGAUGCUGAUCUUAAAACUAAAUCUACAACAUAUAAUAAUUUGAAAGGAAGUUUACAAAAUCUUGAAAAGAAGCAGACAGGAAGCUUAUUAACAAGAAAUUUGGCAGAUUUAGUGAAGAAGGAACACUUUAUCUUGGAUAGCGAAUAUUUAACUACUUUGCUUGUAAUCGUCCCAAGAGCAAAUUUCCAGGAGUGGCAUAGUGGAUAUGAAAAGUUAACGAAAAUGAUAGUACCACGUACCACACAACUCAUUGCUCAAGAUGUUGAGUAUGGAUUAUUUACUGUUACUUUAUUCAAAAAAGUUAUCGAUGAAUUUAAAUUACACGCACGUGAGAAGAAGUUCAUUGUUCGUGAUUUUACAUAUAAUGAAGAGGAACUAGCAGCAGGAAAAAAUGAGAUAACAAAAUUGGUAACAGAUAAAAAGAAACAAUUUGGGCCUCUUGUACGUUGGUUAAAAGUUAAUUUUAGUGAGUGUUUUUGUGCAUGGAUUCAUGUUAAAGCUUUGCGCGUGUUUGUAGAAUCUGUCCUAAGGUAUGGAUUACCUGUAAAUUUUCAAGCGAUAUUAUUGCAUCCUCAUAAAAAAUGUGCAAGGCGUUUACGUGAUGUUCUGAACCAGCAUUACGCUCAUUUAGAUUCCUCUGCUACAACAUCGUCUGGUGCACAAGGAAAUCAAGAUAGCGUGGAUAUACCAGGGUUAGGUUUUGGCCAAAAUGAUUAUUUCCCUUAUGUGUAUUAUAAAAUCAACGUAGAUAUGGUUGACAAUAAGGUCUAAUUAUUGAAGUGAUGAGUCUAUUUUCUUAUAUUUUAAAUAUCCUUUCAUUUACAUAAAACAUACUUCCAUAUCUCCAGGUACUUAAAGCAGGAGUAUAUCAAAUAUUUACUCAAAACUGAUAUUUUUAUAGUACAUCAAAAUGCCUGGAGAGAUGUAUGUACUUUGAUAUUAGCUUAAUAUAAACUAUGCAUAAUAGAAUGCACAAUCAUUUGUAUAAAUUUUAGCAGACGAAUUUGAAUACAUCUUGCAAAUUUUCUUUUUUUUUAAACAGGCUAUAUUUGAUUGAACAAAAGACAUUAGUACAAAUGAGACUCAUAAUAUGAUUAUAUACUUUAAAUUUUCAGCUUUAACAAAAAUUGAAUAUAUUAAAGAUUAACAACCAUAAUAAUCACAUUCUGCGUAAAAUGCUUGUAUAAAUGUACCAAAAUUCUCACAAUUAAAUAUAGCACAACCUAUUUUAUAUAGUACUACAUGAAGAGCAAAAAAUAUAUUGUGCCAGAAUAGAAAUUCUGCAAUGUAGAAUUGUAUUAUGUUAUGUAUUGCUUAUAAAAUUAAGACCAUUGUGAAUAUUGUUAUAAAGAAGAAAGUGCAUCUUGUUACAAGAACAUAUGUCAUAAUAUCUGUUUUGAUUCAAAUGCUUUUACCAUGUUCAUUCAAUAGGUCUUCAUAAUGCAUAUUGUAUUAUGCGACAACUAGCAAAAUAAGUGUUAUUGAAGUGUUAAGAUACUGUAAAUUUAUUUCACUAAUAUUAAAAACUAAUGUUUUAACAAUGCAGAGUGUACCAGAUACAUGCUAAUGUAUCAAUGUUACUUAUUAAAAACUAUAAAACUGCAAAAUAUUAGUGUAACUCUUGAAGUAUUAUUAUUAACAUUAUCUUUCAAGUUUUAAUGAUAUCUAAAGCUUUUCAUUUUAUAAUAAAUACAAUUGAAGUAUUAAAUAUUGAUUUGAAGGCUGCACAAAAAUGAAAAGUAAUAUGCGGAAUCGCUAUGGUGCAUGUUGUUUAAACAGGUUGUAUUAUAAAUACUUUAUGUAUAGAAACUAUGCUUUGCAAUAUUACUUUAAAUAUCGCUUAAAUUUUAUUUUUUUCGAAAUGGUAUUUUUAAUGCAACGAUGUAAAUCGAAUUGUAUGUCUGAAUAUAUUCAAUUUUAUUCUAUACAUACGUUUGAGAAAUAGAAUGAUCUACAGAUAUAAUAUUUUUCCUGAUUUAAGCAAACAUAUUUUAACCUAUGGGAACAUAAUUUAGUUUAUAAUUUCCGUUCGAAUAAUAAUCAUUAAUUCAUUAGUGUUUCGCAGCGCAUUUGUAUUUCGAACUGUAAAUUAUUAUACAGUUGACGAUAAAGUGUUAAAAAGUAAACGAAAUUUUACCGUCAUCGAUUAAAUUUUAUAAAAGAAAAGUUUUCCUAUGCGUUAAAUAAUGAAAAUGUUCUAUGUAUUAAAAACGUUAUAUGUAUCAUACUGAUAAUUCUGAAAAUGUAUUGUUUUAUAUACUCCAAAAUCAAUUACAAUAUUAUAUUAAUAAUAUAUAAUUUUUAAAUUCCAGUUGUAAAAACAUUUCAGUCACAGUGAUGACAAUAUUAGCUGAAUCAUAACUGUAUGUUAAAUCUAUGAAUAAAUGAAUUCUUGAAUGGA